rnacentral:rRNA from 1 species
AUUGAACGCUGGCGGCAGGCCUAACACAUGCAAGUCGGACGGUAGCACAGAGGAGCUUGCUCCUCGGGUGACGAGUGGCGGACGGGUGAGUAAUGUCUGGGGAUCUGCCCGAUAGAGGGGGAUAACCACUGGAAACGGUGGCUAAUACCGCAUAACGUCGCAAGACCAAAGAGGGGGACCUUCGGGCCUCUCACUAUCGGAUGAACCCAGAUGGGAUUAGCUAGUAGGCGGGGUAACGGCUCACCUAGGCGACGAUCCCUAGCUGGUCUGAGAGGAUGACCAGCCACACUGGAACUGAGACACGGUCCAGACUCCUACGGGAGGCAGCAGUGGGGAAUAUUGCACAAUGGGCGCAAGCCUGAUGCAGCCAUGCCGCGUGUAUGAAGAAGGCCUUCGGGUUGUAAAGUACUUUCAGCGGGGAGGAAGGCGAUGUGGUUAAUAACCGCAUUGAUUGACGUUACCCGCAGAAGAAGCACCGGCUAACUUCGUGCCAGCCGCCGCAGUAA